rnacentral:snRNA from 1 species
AAGGUUGGAUUGAGAGGGUAAUCUGGUAGCGACAUUAACCGCCAGGGUUGAUUUGGCUGAUCUGGUUGGCUAGGCGGGUGUCCCUUUCCUCAAUGCUUUAUGUGCGUCCCUCCUGAAGCUGUGUGCUAGGUCGAAGAGGACGACCAUCCCCUUUAGAGGAGGCCAGUUCUUUGGUCAAGGGAAUAAGUGCAACUGUGCUCCCUUGCUAGAACCGCCAAAUAAGCUCUCAAGAAUAAAGGUUUAUUUUAGCUCAUGGUUCUGGAGGCUAGAAAUCUAAGAGCAUGAGGAUGACACCUGCUU